rnacentral:lncRNA from 1 species
AAGAUUUUUUUUUUUGGCCUCUUGGAUCUCUAAAGAGCAUGAGGUCUGUCUCAUAGGCAAGGAUCUGCUGGCAGUUGGCUACUGAUAGUUUGGGCUGCUAUAGAAAACUGAAGGAGAGAGUGGUAGCUGUCUAUUAUUUUAGGGAGUUAGGGAGUUAGUGAAUCAUUUAUAGAUAGUGUAGGUUAGAUAGGCCUGUGUUUGCCAGGCAAGAAGAAGCUAUCCUCAGACGACAGAGAUCUUUUACAAGAGGCUCUGCAGCAUUCCAGAAAUUUAAAUAGCUAGUACAACAUAUGCAUAAACAGGAGCAUCUGGAAUACCAUAUCAUAUACAAAGAAUAAAACGAUCAUACUUCAUCUUGAACACUACAUUGAAUCUCUUCUAAAAAUCAAAUAUCCAUACGUAAUACCUUAUAUGUCAAAUGGAAUGCUGACCAUUUUUUACAAUAAUUCUUAAAGGGAAGAAAAUAACACCACUGAAUAAUCUAUAGAGAUUGCAUGUUGCCGUGGAUAAAGGACUGAAUUUGGAGAUAGAAGACCUGGAUUCCACUCCUGACAGAUAUUUAAUACUCAUGUAACUUAUAAAAUGCUUCUCUCUUUGGGACUUUGUUUUCUUUCGUGUGUGUG